CACGGCCCUUAUCGAAGCGGCAGCUGCUUUCACAUAGCUCCUGUGGCCGAAAAGGAGCCCAGAGUGAUGGCUUUCCUUGAUGGUCACUGUUUCGUUUGCUGUCACUGAUCUGCAAAGUUUCGGAAAAGGAGAGUU
rnacentral:snoRNA from 1 species